rnacentral:tRNA from 1 species
GGGGGCGUAGCUCAGCCGGUAGAGCAGCGGCCUUUUAAGCCGUAGGUCGCAGGUUCGAUCCCUGCCGCCCUCACCA